CCUGGCAUUGUGUUCACGCCAUUAUAUUGCCCGUCUUACAUUAAGUUUUUUUACAUUAAAACACUCCCUUUCUUUGCCCGUCGACCCUGUCCGUGUCUCUGCUCGUCAAAACGCCUGUUGUCGCUAUCCGUCACCCCACGGCCUUUUCCUCUGCCCGACGACUUACUCUCUUGUCGCCAAAACGCCCACUGCAGUGGCCCAUUGACCAUUUGAUUUUGCAUUCGUCAGUCCCUUUGGCACUGUCUCUGCCCGUCAAAACACCUGUUGUAUCUGUCCGUCAAUCCACUUUUUGCCUCUUUAAAGAAAUCUAUACUCUAUAAAAAACAAGGAAAUUGGGGGAGAAGCCUGUCCCGCUGUGCAUUUGUUCUGAUUGGCUGGCGUCAAAACCGCCGCCGGCUGUAGUGAAUUUGAGGAAUGUUGUGAUUCGCUGGCGUCAAAACGUCUGCUACAGUGAAUUGAUGGAAUGGGGAUUUGGAAAACUAAACUGCGGGUUGCGGAUUUGGGAAAUUUUUUAGUCUACGGGCUUUUCAGUCCACGGGCUUUCAGCCGACGGGCAGAGACUGUACGGUUGAAGACGGGCAACUACAGCGUUUUUUUUUGGUGGGCAAAGGGGGUUGACGGGCAGAGCUAUUCGAGAAAAAACGGGCAAAGGGAAAAAAGUGGUUGGACGGGCAACUACAGCGGGCGUUUUCCUGGCUGAGACUGUGAGGGAAAGACGGGCAAAAGCAAAUGAAAAGGUGAAUGGGUAACUAUAUUGAACGUUUUGGCGGACUUUGAAUUUUGGGGGUUUUAAAAAACAUAAUGGCUAUCAAUCAGAGCAGACAAAGUUUUAUCCACUCUUUGUACUGUUUAUUAAAAACUCUUAGAAAUAAAAAAAAAUAUUGCAAAUAAUUUGAAUAAAAAAUACAAAUAAUUAAAACAUGAACGGCAACAAGCUGCAUUGCACCGCCUCCGGUGACCAAGUGUGAAGUACACUUUCCGUCCAAAAACUUAGAAGGGAGUUAACUUCAAAGGAUAGGGAGGGGUAUUGAUAAAAAUUAUUUUUGAAAAAAUAACAUUAAAUCUAUAUUAAGUAAGGAAUGUUAUAUCUUUUGGGAAAAAAGAACUUUUUUAGCUCAACUCUAAGCAUUUUAUUUAAAAUUUAAAAAACCUAGUCUUAGCAUACGCUUAUAGGGAAAAACCGGGUGUGCCUAUUUUGUGAACGAGGACCUAGAGCCUUAGCGGUAAGUUCUACAAAAAAACUAAGUGUUAGUGAAUUGUAGAUCACGACUUUAUCUGAUCAGCAAAAAUAAAAAAAAAAUCUACCUGUAUCCAUUAAAUAGCAAUGGGAGUUUAAGUGACACCGUAGCGCCAUAAGAAUACACGUAAAUGGGGGAGGUGUGCCUAAUAAUUUGGUGAGUACUGUACCUCUACAACAAGCGUUUUGGUGGGCAGAAAGUGGUUUUACGGGCAGAGAUGGAGACGGGAGGGGCAGAGAGGGAGUCGACGGGAAACUUCAGCUGGGUUAAGGGCAGGCAGAGAAAGUGAGGGGAUGGACGGGCAGAAACAGUGAAUGGGUCGAGGGAAAGGAAAGGGAAUUCCUGAUUUGUAAAAACAAUUCAGGGCAGACGAGUGAAAAAUAGGCAUGGGUCAAUUUUUUUAAAAAUUGCGUUAAAAUACGUUAGCGCCACCUAUCCCCCGGCCCUGGGUGUGCCCAAAGCUACUUGCCUAUACUAAAUAAAAAAAACAAGGAAAAAGAGAGGCACCUGUCACGCUGUGCAUGUGUUUUGAUUGGCUGGCAGAGAGACUACGCCAAAACCGCCGUCGGCUGUAGUGAAUUGGCGGGAUGGGGAUUGGAAGACUAAAAUGUGAGUGGAAAUGCGGAUUUGGGUAAUUUUUCGGUCUACGGGGUUUGCGUAAACGGGUGCGCAACGGCACGUAUGACGACGUGAAAUAAGUGAAUUGACGGGCAACCACAGCGGGCGUUUUCCUGGCUGAGACUCUGAGGGAAAGACGGGCAAAAGCAAAAGAAAAGGUCAAUGGGCCACUAUUGCAGCUCUUUUGGCGGGUAGCGAGUGGGCCGACGGACAGUGAGGAGGCUGACGAGCAGCGAAGGGGCCGACGGGCAGAGAGGGGGCCGACGGCAGAGAGGGUGGCCGACGGGCAGCAAGUUGGUGGACGGACAACUAUAGCGGGCGUUUUGCCUGGCGGAGACUAUGACAAAAGAUUGGCCAAAUACGGAAAAAUGUAGAUGUUCCCCCAGCAGGCAUUUUGGGGGCAGAAUUUGGGUUGACGGGCAGAAUGUGAGAUGACGGGCAGAAAGUGGGUUGACUGACUGAAAGUGGUUUGACGGGCAUUGAGGGGGUCGACGGCCAGCUUCUGUUGUUUUCUUAACGAACAGAGAAAGUGAGGGUAUGGACGGGCAGAAACAGUGGGUGCGUCGGCGGGCAAUAAAAGGGAGCUGUGAAAAUAAUUAAAAGUAGACGGCCGGAAAAAUGGAGUUGAUCGAUUUGCUUCAAAAUAGCGUUAGAAUACGCUAGCGCCACCUAUACCCCGGCUCUGGACGCGCUCAAAGUUACUAGUAAUUUUAAUUAAAUCAACGUAGCGUAUUAGUUUGAAUUUCUUAGUUGGUGACAAACAAGUAUUUUCGCGGAAAGAAAAGGGUUUUUCUAAUGCCGACAGAGAUACUAGUCUCAGAAAAACUUAUAAAUAUUUUUUAAACAAUUAAAGCUAAGUUUUAUUUUUCGUUUUUCGUAUCUCAAAAGAAAUGACGCUCUAGAAGUUUAGCAAACAUAAAAAAAUGGCAGGAGUUACACCUAGGGUGAUACAGUAUUGUUCACUUGAUUAGGUUCAUCCAGACUUGCCGCGCCGAUUAAUUUUCCGAUAUCGAUCGGAUCGGCGAUUAAAUUUUGCCGAUCAUUUUUACCGAUUAUUUCUGUGCCAAAUCUAAUGCUUAAAAUUCACACUGUUUAAUGAAUGUAGCAUUGGCUGUCACAGCGACAGCCAAUGACAUCAUUGUGGAUUAACACAAAACAGUUUUUUCAAUUGGCAUUGGACAGAAAUAGUAGUGAAAGAGAACUAUGCAACUGCAAAAUCUACAGCUAGACGGUGAAAAUUUUUAUCGCUCACCACGAGAAAAAUGCAUGAAAAAAGGGCUGUACCUAAUCGUUUGGUGGGCACUGUAUAAUGUCGAAAUAAUUUACCAUUGAUAAAUAAGCUUUUAAAAGUACGUAUUUAAAAUCAGUCUUUCCCUAAAUGAAUGAGUAUACUGGUGUAGUUAUUUUUAACUAGAGAAAGAAGAACAUAAAGAGAAAAAGAACAUAAUGGACAAUUGUCAACUUACUGUUUGGAACCCUUCACAAAAUGGCAAAACUAGGAAACACAUCAAAUAGCAGGAAGUAAAAAUCUUCUGUAAAAUCGAAACUCCACUCUCAGAAGACACGUUCUAUCCUGCUUACACCUGUCGUUGUUAUAAACCUGUGACUGGGACAUCUAUCGGCAUUUGGACGAAAUUCGCUGACGUGCCUGUACAGCAUCCUGCACAAAAAGGUUGGGUUUGGCGCCAAAACACGAAAAGUUGGGUUGGGUAAUUUAAUUCUAGACAUCUUUUUCUAAUGCCCCAGGUGUUAUGGAAAAUGUCUGGAAAAGGUGGUGUAUUGUCUUUUUUUGUUAUACCCACAAACCCCUUCUCGCAGGCUAAGAUAAAAAAUAUGUUGUAAAAACAUUGUUACCUCCAUUACCCGCUUUGAUCAACAUCGACUCAACAUUAUGAGAAACAUUUUUACAUUAUCCCGCUAUUGAACCACUGCUAUCCGUAUCGGAACUCAACAUUACGGGAAACACUUUCACAUUAUCUCGGUAUCUAUAUAUUCACGUAUUUCAUGGAGGCUGAAAAAUAGGAAUAAAUGGAGAAAUAAUUUUUUUAUAUUUAUAUGUUAUAUCAUUUACAUACCAUAAUUCUGAAC